GAUGAACGCUGGCGGCGUGCUUAAUACAUGCAAGUCGAACGGAGACGUUGUAGCAAUAUGAUGUCUUAGUGGCGAACGGGUGAGUAACGCGUUGGUGACCUGCCCCAAAGCGGGGGAUAACAGUCCGAAAGGAUUGCUAAUACCACAUGUGGUCCUCAGGUUUAGAAACUGAUGACUAAAGGAGCAAUUCGCUUUGGGAGGGACCUGCGUCCCAUCAGCUAGUUGGUGAGGUAACGGCUCACCAAGGCGACGACGGGUAGGGGACCUGAGAGGGUGGCCCCCCACAAUGGAACUGAAACACGGUCCAUACACCUACGGGUGGCAG
rnacentral:rRNA from 1 species